rnacentral:rRNA from 2 species
GCGUACCUUUUGUAUAAUGGGUCAGCGACUUAUAUUCUGUAGCAAGGUUAACCGUAUAGGGGAGCCGAAGGGAAACCGAGUCUUAACUGGGCGUUAAGUUGCAGGGUAUAGACCCGAAACCCGGUGAUCUAGCCAUGGGCAGGUUGAAGGUUGGGUAACACUAACUGGAGGACCGAACCGACUAAUGUUGAAAAAUUAGCGGAUGACUUGUGGCUGGGGGUGAAAGGCCAAUCAAACCGGGAGAUAGCUGGUUCUCCCCGAAAGCUAUUUAGGUAGCGCCUCGUGAACUCAUCUUCGGGGGUAGAGCACUGUUUCGGCUAGGGGGUCAUCCCGACUUACCAACCCGAUGCAAACUGCGAAUACCGAAGAAUGUUAUCACGGGAGACACACGGCGGGUGCUAACGUCCGUCGUGAAGAGGGAAACAACCCAGACCGCCAGCUAAGGUCCCAAAGUCACAGUUAAGUGGGAAACGAUGUGGGAAGGCUCAGACAGCCAGGAUGUUGGCUUAGAAGCAGCCAUCAUUUAAAGAAAGCGUAAUAGCUCACUGGUCGAGUCGGCCUGCGCGGAAGAUGUAACGGGGCUAAACUGUGCACCGAAGCUGCGGCAGCGACGCUUAUGCGUUGUUGGGUAGGGGAGCGUUCUGUAAGCCUGCGAAGGUGUCCUGUGAGGGAUGCUGGAGGUAUCAGAAGUGCGAAUGCUGACAUAAGUAACGAUAAUGCGGGUGAAAAGCCCGCUCGCCGGAAGACCAAGGGUUCCUGUCCAACGUUAAUCGGGGCAGGGUGAGUCGACCCCUAAGGCGAGGCCGAAAGGCGUAGUCGAUGGGAAACGGGUUAAUAUUCCCGUACUUGGUGUUACUGCGAAGGGGGGACGGAGAAGGCUAUGUUGGCCGGGCGACGGUUGUCCCGGUUUAAGCGUGUAGGCUGGUUUUCCAGGCAAAUCCGGAAAAUCAAG